CUUGUACACACCGCUCCUCACGUCAAGGGAGCUGGUCACGCCUGAAGCUGGUGGGCUAACCACAAGGGGGCUGCCGUAGAAGAGAGGGCUCGUGAAUGGGACGAAGUUGUAACAAGGUAGCGUAGCGGAAGCUGCGGAAGGAUCACCUCCUAAAAGCA
rnacentral:rRNA from 1 species